CAUGAGAUGGCUGAAAUAGUGUAACUUUUUUAAAUUUAUCAUAGUAGAAAUACUUCCCAUGG
rnacentral:tRNA from 1 species